UACGUAGGGGGCAAGCGUUGUUCGGAAUUACUGGGCGUAAAGCGCGUGUAGGCGGUCUGGCAAGUCAGAUGUGAAAGCCCCGGGCUCAACUUGGGAACUGCAUUUGAUACUGCCAAGCUAGAGUACGGGAGAGGAAAGUGGAAUUCCUGGUGUAGCGGUGAAAUGCGUAGAUAUCAGGAGGAACACCGGUGGUGUAGACGGCUUUCUGGACCGUAACUGACGCUGAGACACGAAAGCGUGGGUAGCAAACAGG
rnacentral:rRNA from 1 species